UGAGGAAUAUUGGGCAAUGCCCGCAAGGGUGACCCAGCAACGCCGCGUGGAGGAUGAAUGUCGUAAGAUUGUAAACUCCUGUUAGAGGGGAAGAAUAGUACCGGUUGGACCGGUAUAUAACUGUACCCUCAGAGAAAGCCCCGGCUAACUACGUGCCAGCAGCCGCGGUAAUACGUAGGGGGCAAGCGUUGUCCGGAUUUACUGGGUGUAAAGGGCGCGCAGGCGGGAUAAAAAGUCAGUGGUGAAAUCCUACAGCUUAACUGUAGAACUGCCUUUGAUACUUUUAUUCUUGAGUUCGGGAGAGAGAGACGGAAUUCCAGGUGUAGCGGUGAAAUACGUAGAUAUCUGGAAGAACACCAGUUGCGAAGGCGGUCUCUUGGUCCGACACUGACGCUGAGGCGCGAAAGCGUGGGGAGCAAACA
rnacentral:rRNA from 1 species